UGCCUGUCUGUGUCUCUCCACCUUAUUGUUUCUUGCUAUCUAGGGGACCUUGACUGAAGACUUCAUUUUUAUUUAAUCAUCUCUGUAAAGAUCCAUUUUUUAAUAAGAUUGAUUAAUAAAAAGCUGAACCAGCCAAUUAGCUGGGCAGAAGAGCACAGAAUGGAACUUCUGAUCCCGAUUACGGGGUCCCAAAGGAUAUGAGAGGGUAGAGAGGACCAGGAGAAGAAGAGGGUGUGGAGAGACCACAUGGAUGGACCAGGAGGAUUUGCCAUGAGAUCACCACGAGAGAGUAAGCCAGGAGGACACUCCUGCACCAGGGUGAGCCAGGGCAAGACUGAUGAAACUCGGUGUCCAGAUGUUUCAGCAUCCAGAUGGCCCAUGAAUCCUCUAUUACCCAGAAAGGAGAGAGCUGUGCAGGAAAGUGGAACAUUCAAAAGGAAAAAAAAAAACAUCAUUUAGCAUCAGCAUGGAAUGACAACACACAGGGCUCAAGGAGGCGCUCCCCGUGCUGAAGCAGCAACUUAAAACCACGCAUGCGGCUCUAUCAGCAAGCCUGGCGUCCGCCUUCUUCCUUCCCCAUCCCCAGGAAGAGGCCUGCCGAGGUCCGCGCUCUUUAAAGGGCAGACAGCAUGGAAGAACGCUCAUGUACAAUUUAAAGUAGCAGCUAAAAUUGGAAUGGUCACAAGAAAGCCUGCUUCUUAGCAAUUAAAUUGACAAGCUGUCUGUGAUUACCCUAGGGAGCUUGGCAGCUGAGUGAUAAAAAGGCAGCAAGUGUUGAAAGGUCUCACACAACUUACUAGAUAGACAAAGACCACAUCUGCUUAAUAUACUGAUUGGGAGAGUUGUGGAAUGCACUUGGCUAAAUUAGCCAAGGAGACAUACUAAUGAUACCUUUGCUUCUCGAAGACCCUUUGCUCAGGACCCACUUAAGAAACUGCCCACAAAUAUUUGGAAGCAUCCAUUAAAAAAAAAAUUGCUGCACAGUCCCAAGCAUGGAUUUUAUUUAGUAUGAGCCAACCAUCCCAGAUUACCAGGACUGAGCCAAAACCUCCCACCAAGUUAUAUGAAAGUUGUAUACACUUGAUACAAAAACUGGAUACCAGAGAGACCCUGGCUGGUAACAAUCAGCAACUGGAGAUUGGUGGGUAAAGAGAUGGCUUAACACAGCUAUUUAUUAGGUAAGAAUUACAUGGAAUUUUCAUUGUUAGAUCCUUUGAGUGGGGCAAAGUUGAAACUUAGGUUACGAAGGCAGGAGCAGUAGUUGAUUUUGGGUGGUGGCAAUUUGUGACAAAUAUGUCCAUUUCAUCCAUCUGUUUUUAAUUUUAUUGUACCAUCUCUUACAAGGGAGAAUGUACACAUUGAUAAUCUUCCACUAAAUAAAGAAGUGGUGGCUA